rnacentral:misc_RNA from 1 species
CUAUUUUUAACCGACUUCCAAAAAAAGGAGGAGGUUCUCAAAUCGACUGUAUUUUUUUUAUGUAUGUUACUUCAGAACUUUUGACCGGGUGGACCGAUUUCGACAAAUUUUUUUUAAUCGAAAGGUGGUGUGUGUCAAUUGGUCCCAUUUAAAUUUAUUUGAGAUCUAACAACUACUUUUCGAGUUAUAUCUAAUAAUGCGUUUUUACUUGACGCUUUUUUCGUCGACCUACGUUGUAUUAUACCGCAUAACUUUCUACUGGAUAUACCGAUUUUGAUAAUUCUUUUUUUUGUUGGAAAGGGGAUAUCCCUAGUUUGGUACCACGAUAAGGAAACCAGGAUCUGAUGAUGGUAUCCCAGAGAAAUCGAGGGAAACUCUUGAAAAUCCGCAAUAACUUUUUACUGGGU